GGUUAGGUAGUCUAACUAAGACGUAGAUUUGUAAAAUCUAAAAUGAGUUUCUCCCUGACCG
rnacentral:tRNA from 1 species